UCUGGGAUUAGAUACCCUGUUAUUAUAAAUGUAAUAAAUAAAACUUAGGUAUUAAUAGUUAUGUUCUUUAAACUUAAAAAAUUUGGCGGUAUUUUAGUCUAUUCAGAGGAACCUGUUUUAUAAUCGAUAAUCCACGGUGGACCUUACUUAAAUUUGUAAUCAGUUUAUAUACCGUUGUUAUUAGAAUAUUUUAUAAGAAUGAUAAUUUUCAUAAUUUUUUUAAAAAAGUAUAUCAAAUCAAGGUGUAGCUUAUAUUUAAGUAAAAAUGGGUUACAAUAAAUUUAUUUAAAUGAAUAUAAAUUUGAAAUGUUUAUUGAAGGUGGAUUUGAUAGUAAAAUUAUAUAGAUUAAUAAUUUGAUUUUAGCUCUAAAAUAUGUACAAAUCGCCCGUCACUCUCUGA
rnacentral:rRNA from 1 species